rnacentral:rRNA from 1 species
UACGAAGGGGGCUAGCGUUGCUCGGAUUGACUGGGCGUAAAGGGCGCGUAGGCGGUUCGUACAGUCAGACGUGAAAUUCCUGGGCUCAACCUGGGGGCUGCGUUUGAUACGUGCGGACUUGAGUGCGGAAGAGGGUCGUGGAAUUCCCAGUGUAGAGGUGAAAUUCGUAGAUAUUGGGAAGAACACCGGUGGCGAAGGCGGCGACCUGGUCCGAUACUGACGCUCAUGCGCGACAGCGUGGGGAUCAAACAGG